UACGGAGGGGGCUAGCGUUGUUCGGAAUUACUGGGCGUAAAGCGUGCGCAGGCGGCUUUGCAAGACAGAGGUGAAAUCCCCGGGCUCAACCUGGGAACUGCCUUUGUGACUGCAAGGCUAGAGUACGGCAGAGGGAGAUGGAAUUCCGCGUGUAGCAGUGAAAUGCGUAGAUAUGCGGAGGAACACCGAUGGCGAAGGCAAUCUCCUGGGCCUGUACUGACGCUCAUGCACGAAAGCGUGGGGAGCAAACAGG
rnacentral:rRNA from 1 species